GGUAUGUAUCUCAGUGAUAGAGCUCUUGCCUAGCAUGUGUGAAACCCUGGGUUCAAUCCCCAGCACCA
rnacentral:tRNA from 1 species